GACGAAGGAUCCAAGCGUUAUCCGGAUUCAUUGGGUUUAAAGGGUGCGUAGGCGGGUUUGUAAGUCAGUGGUGAAAGCCGGCAGCUCAACUGUCGAAUUGCCAUUGAUACUGCGGACCUAGAAUAUAGAUGACGUUGGCGGAAUAUGACAUGUAGCGGUGAAAUGCAUAGAUAUGUCAUAGAACACCGAUUGCGAAGGCAGCUGACGAAACUAUAAUUGACGCUGAUGCACGAAAGUGCGGGGAUCAAACAGG
rnacentral:rRNA from 1 species